UACGUAGGGGGCAAGCGUUGUCCGGAAUCAUUGGGCGUAAAGAGCGUGUAGGCGGCCCGAUAAGUCCGCUGUGAAAGUCCAGGGCUCAACCCUGGGAUGCCGGUGGAUACUGUCGGGCUCGAGUCCGGAAGAGGAGUGUGGAAUUCCUGGUGUAGCGGUGAAAUGCGCAGAUAUCAGGAGGAACACCAAUGGCGAAGGCGGCAUCCUGGACCGGCAUUGACGCUGAGGCGCGAAAGCCAGGGGAGCAAACGGG
rnacentral:rRNA from 1 species